AGUGAACGCUGGCGGUAGGCCUAACACAUGCAAGUCGAACGGCAGCACAGUAAUAGCUUGCUCUUACGGGUGGCGAGUGGCGGACGGGUGGGGAAUACAUCGGAAUCUACUUUUUCGUGGGGGAUAACGUAGGGAAACUUACGCUAAUACCGCAUACGACCUACGGGUGAAAGCAGGGGAUCUUCGGACCUUGCGCGAUUGAAUGAGCCGAUGUCGGAUUAGCUAGUUGGCGGGGUAAAGGCCCACCAAGGCGACGAUCCGUAGCUGGUCUGAGAGGAUGAUCAGCCACACUGGAACUGAGACACGGUCCAGACUCCUACGGGAGGCAGCAGUGGGGAAUAUUGGACAAUGGGCGAAAGCCUGAUCCAGCCAUACCGCGUGGGUGAAGAAGGCCUUCGGGUUGUAAAGCCCUUUUGUUGGGAAAGAAAAGCAGUAGGUUAAUACCUCGCUGUUCUGACGGUACCCAAAGAAUAAGCACCGGCUAACUUCGUG
rnacentral:rRNA from 1 species